rnacentral:rRNA from 1 species
GAUGAACGCUGGCGGCGUGCCUAAUACAUGCAAGUCGAGCGAACGGACGAGAAGCUUGCUUCUCUGAUGUUAGCGGCGGACGGGUGAGUAACACGUGGAUAACCUACCUAUAAGACUGGGAUAACUUCGGGAAACCGGAGCUAAUACCGGAUAAUAUUUUGAACCGCAUGGUUCAAAAGUGAAAGACGGUCUUGCUGUCACUUAUAGAUGGAUCCGCGCUGCAUUAGCUAGUUGGUAAGGUAACGGCUUACCAAGGCAACGAUGCAUAGCCGACCUGAGAGGGUGAUCCGCCACACUGGAACUGAGACACGGUCCCGACUCCUACGGGAGGCAGCAGUGGGGAAUCUUGCACAAUGGGCGGAAGCCUGGCCGAGCCACGCCGCGUGGGUGAAGAAGGUCUUCGGGUUGUAAAACCCUUUUUUUAGGGAAGAAAAACAGUGGAAGAAAACCUGGCUGUUCUGACGGUACCCAAAGAAAAAGCCCCGGCUAACUUCGUG